UUAGUGGGCGGAGUGGUGGGUAC
rnacentral:piRNA from 1 species